CAUGAAGAUAAAAUGCUAAUAUGGUUGACUUUUCACAAGCACAUGGGUUAGUGCCAGAGAAACAAUAAUAUUGUAAAACAGCUACUCAAACCGAAGUGUUGAGCCUGCAGCUAAUAUACCAAGACCUGUUUCUGAACGGGAUUUGUUUUUCUGUUUAUGGAUUACCAGGCUAUGAAAAUCCCUGUAGAUAAAGGUUGUGAGAAGAUCUGAAGCUGUUACCAUGACACUGAGUCCCGUUAUGCCAAAGGAUGAGUGCUCUCCCACAGGGCAGCUCCCCAGAUGAUGUGAGACCUACUGAUGAUUCCAUUGGUUUCUGCCAGGUGGUACACACCCCAUUCCCAGUCUGCCAGUCAUCAUUAUGCAAUGGCUGUUUCCUUUUGGCUAGUUGGUCCCCUUCUAAGAAAAAAUAUCUCUGGACUCAAGAUGGCGCUGUGAGAACAACCCAGGAUUGGAGCCCGCGUUGAAUUCGCAAACGGAAUGUGUGAUGAGCAGAAAUAACGUAGACUGUGACUUGGGCUCCUUUUAUCUCUAAAUUUUUUUCAAAGAGGUAAUCUUAUCAACUGAUUUAUAGAACUCAUUUUUUUCCAAAGUGUUUAAUUUUUUGUACAGAUAUUAAGUGUAUGCCAAUAAAUUAAAUAUCUCAAUAAUGGUAGUAAUAAAUAAAGUGCUGGGAUUACAGGCCUGAGCCAUUGCACCCAGCCAAGGAACAUUUGAUUUUUAAAUGACUAUAUAUGUAUUUGACAAUGACUAUAUAUAUAUAUGUGUGUGUGUGUGUGUGUGUAUGUGUGUGUAUUGUAUAUAUAUAUAUACACACAUGUGUGUGUGUGUUUGUGUGUAUAUAUACACACACAUAUUAGCGACUUUGAACUUGUUGUGAAAUCUCAAUAUGAAAAGGAUAGAAUAAGUCAUGGAAAGCUGAAAGGUCUAGUUAAAAGAAGCCAAAG
rnacentral:lncRNA from 1 species